rnacentral:rRNA from 1 species
GCAGUAGCCGCGGGAAUACGUAGGGUGCGAGCGUUAAUCGGAAUUACUGGGCGUAAAGCGUGCGCAGGCGGUUGUGUAAGACAGGUGUGAAAUCCCCGGGCUUAACCUGGGAACUGCGCUUGUGACUGCACAGCUAGAGUAUGGCAGAGGGGGGUGGAAUUCCACGUGUAGCAGUGAAAUGCGUAGAGAUGUGGAGGAACACCGAUGGCGAAGGCAGCCCCCUGGGCCAAUACUGACGCUCAUGCACGAAAGCGUGGGGAGCAAACAGGAUUAGAUACCCCGGUAGUCCCUGUCUCUUAUAC